AGGUAGAAUGGCCGANUAUUAGGCGGCAGGCUGUAAACCUGUUUACACGGGUUCAAGUCCUGUUUCUCCC
rnacentral:tRNA from 1 species